GCAUCAGUGGUCUAACGGUUAUGAUCCGGUCUUCCCACAUAGCGAAUUGUUAUUAGAAUGGCCGGGAAAGGGGUUCGACUCCCCUCUGAUGCA